GAGAAGAAAAUAGAAGUCUAAAAUAUGGCAGAGUUGAAUCAUAAAAAUAGCCUGGGUUCCUGAAUGACUGGGUGGAGCAUAGCCUCCACUGACCCAAAUUGAACGAUAAUGCAAGCAAGAUGAUAAUUUGAUUUUUGAGUUAACCUGAUGAGUUUUUGUAGCUGUCAAGAGCUCUUAAAUUGAGCCAAUGAAAGCAAAAUUCAAUAGAAGAAAGCAAAAAAAUGAAGAAGACAGCAUUAAAGGAAAAGAUCAAGCUUUCUAGAAUCAUACUGGCUAUUAAUAAUGCCUUUGGCUUUGGGAUUGGGAAUUUUUGAUGUGACCAAACAGCCAUUUAUGUUCUCAGAAAACUGGAAUAGGAAUAUCCUAUGGUGGAAGAAAAGAAUGGACCAUGAUGAAAAUUUCUACACCAGAAGAGUUUAAAGAUGAAGAAAGCACCACAGAAGCAGUUCAUGUCUCACUAAGGCUAGACACUGAUGGAUCUAACGUCUCUCUUUGGAAUUUAUUGGCAUUUAACACCUAUUAUCGUCAACUCUGGAGUCCUCAGCUAAACUCUAAGAGAACAGGCAAGAUUUAUAUCCUCCUGGGAAGAAAAGAAGUUCAGCCAUGAAGUCCUGAAGUUUGAAGGAAGAAAAUAAAUCACAUUCUCUUAGAAAUGACUUUUUAUAGGAGAAUAUGAAAGUAGGUAAAGCAAUGUGAUAAUCCAAGAUGCCCUCCAACAGUCCAGUAAGUGUGAAGAGAAAAAGAUAGCCUUAAAACACCAUCCACCCUGUUCAGGGAGCCAGUGAAUGAAGACAGACACCAACUACAAAUUGCAAAAUCUCUCACCCCUCAUCAUCAACUACCUUUCUCUCUUUUGUCAGUUACUUUUCCUUGAUGACUCAAUUGUAGAUUUCAAGUAUGAGUACACUGGACAGACCAUCUCUCCCCAUUUUCCCUGGUGCCUAACACAUCCCUAAGACACAGUAGAUGGGAGCCAAUAAAAACAACCCUAAUCUUGCACUGGGGGAAAUUUCCUCCUAGCAGGAGCUGGAGAUUGACUUUAAAACUGACAGCUAUGAUAACCUCUGGCAUUCUUACUUUCACUAGACUGUCUGAAAACACUUUUUUUUCAACACUGUUAAUACAGUAGCUCUUUAUUGACAGGUACGCUGGUGGUUCUUUUCUUUUUUAAUUGUGACUUUAAUUUAACUGUGAGUUUAAUUUAGAUGAAACACAGUAUUUCCAGUAGCCUCUUACCAAUAAAUUUUUUUUUAAAAAUCAAUAAACAUAGCUUUAUAUGGAUUAAAUCAUUCCUGAUCAUGUGUGCACUAUUUUUAACUGCCAGCUCUAGAGAAUGAACUUGACUGAGGAGAUCUGUAGAUAGACUAUGAUUCUUUUCAAUGUUUCUUACAGCCAAUUGUUCAAAAAAUCAGGAAAAUCUUUAAUUUACAUCUGUGUUAGUGGUUAAUUAUAGCAAAUAUGAAAUUAGUCUCUUAGCCCAAAGUUGAGCCUCUCAUUGCAUAAACUGAAUAGGAAAAAAAAAGUCCUCUUUUUCCAAUAGAAAUAGAUCAAUUUUUAACACCAAGGGUCUUCAUUGCCUUCUUUUUGAAAUGUUGAAGGUAAAGCCUCAAUUCUUAAUUGUGCUUUGUACUUUUUUCUCUUUCUCAGCUGUACAGCUGAAAGUCUAACUGAGAACAGGCAGCCCAGAAAGCACAAGUAGUACUUGAAGGAGGCACAUGCGGGCCUAGUUUUCAUUCCCAGCCAUGCACCACCAUCUCUUUAGAAUUCCUGCUUGAAGACAAAAUAAAAGGCUGCUGCAUACAGGUAGAAGAAAAAAGAGGAAGGUUGAGUUUGCUCAUUGUUGCUGUAAGAAUUUCUUCAUCUGAUUUAUGAAACUUUAGACACCAGUCAUAAUUGACUGACUAGAGAGGGUCUUCUUCCGUAGUCACUAUUGUCUUAACUGGCAUUAUCAUCAAUUUCAGCUUCAUUAAAGUUUUUAGAAGAUCUGCAUUGUAUAUUUUAAUCACUGCAUAUGUAUAUUUUUCUUUUAUCACAAAUAACAAAUCAAUAUGUAUGUUUUAAU
rnacentral:lncRNA from 10 species